AACGAACGCUGGCGGCAGGCCUAACACAUGCAAGUCGAGCGAGCAUUUCGGUGCUAGCGGCGGACGGGUGAGUAACGCGUGGGAACGUGCCCUUUUCUGCGGAAUAGUCCUGGGAAACUGGGGGUAAUACCGCAUACGCCCUUUUGGGGAAAGAUUUAUCGGAGAAGGAUCGGCCCGCGUUGGAUUAGGUAGUUGGUGGGGUAAUGGCCCACCAAGCCGACGAUCCAUAGCUGGUUUGAGAGGAUGAUCAGCCACACUGGGACUGAGACACGGCCCAGACUCCUACGGGAGGCAGCAGUGGGGAAUCUUAGACAAUGGGGGCAACCCUGAUCUAGCCAUGCCGCGUGAGUAAUGAAGGCCUUAGGGUUGUAAAGCUCUUUCAGCUGGGAAGAUAAUGACGGUACCAGCAGAAGAAGCCCCGGCUAACUCCGUG
rnacentral:rRNA from 1 species